GGCUGCGUAACAUAGUGGUAAUGUAGUAGACUGCAAAUCUAUAAAUAGCGGUUCGAUUCCGCUCGCAGCCU
rnacentral:tRNA from 1 species